UGUUAAAAUUUUUAUCUAUUUAUAUUGUUAAAAACUAGCAUAACUAAUGAAAUUACUAACUAAUGACAUAUAGCAUGCUAGCGUACCUCAUGCUAAAAUGCAUAAAUCAUUUUUUAACAGUAGAAAUAGAUGAAAUUUUUAAACG
rfam:Gossypium raimondii Chr02_contig_119, whole genome shotgun sequence.